CCGGUUGAUCCUGCCGGACCUGACUGCUAUCGGAUUGAUACUAAGCCAUGCGAGUCAUUGUAGCAAUACAAGGCAGACGGCUCAGUAACGCGUAGUCAACCUAACCUAUGGACGGGAAUAACCUCGGGAAACUGAGAAUAAUGCCCGAUAGAACACUAUAUCUGGAAUGGUUUGUGUUCCAAAUGAUUUAUCGCCGUAGGAUGGGACUGCGGCCUAUCAGUUUGUUGGUGAGGUAAUGGCCCACCAAGACUAUUACAGGUACGGGCUCUGAGAGGAGUAGCCCGGAGAUGGGUACUGAGACACGGACCCAGGCCCUAUGGGGCGCAGCAGGCGAGAAAACUUUGCAAUGUGCGAAAGCACGACAAGGUUAAUCCGAGUGGUUUGUGCUAAACGAACCUUUUGUCGGUCCUAGAAACACCGAUGAAUAAGGGGUGGGCAAGUUCUGGUGUCAGCCGCCGCGGUAAAACCAGCACCUCAAGUGGUCAGGAUGAUUAUUGGGCCUAAAGCAUCCGUAGCCGGCGCUGUAAGUUUUCGGUUAAAUCUGUACGCUCAACGUACAGGCUGCCGGGAAUACUGCAGCGCUAGGGAGUGGGAGAGGUAGACGGUACUCGGUAGGAAGGGGUAAAAUCCUUUGAUCUAUUGAUGACCACCUGUGGCGAAGGCGGUCUACCAGAACACGUCCGACGGUGAGGGAUGAAAGCUGGGGGAGCAAACCGGAUUAGAUACCCGGGUAGUCCCAGCUGUAAACUAUGCAAACUCAGUGAUGCAUUGGCUUGCGGCCAAUGCAGUGCUGCAGGGAAGCCGUUAAGUUUGCCGCUUGGGAAGUACGUACGCAAGUAUGAAACUUAAAGGAAUUGGCGGGGGAGCACCACAAGGGGUGAAGCCUGCGGUUCAAUUGGAUUCAACGCCGGAAA
rnacentral:rRNA from 1 species